CGCCUGUUUAUCAAAAACAUUGUAAAUAAUAUUUAUACCGCCUGCUCAAUGAAUAGUUUAAAUAGCCGCGUUAGUGCUAAGGUAGCAUAGUAAUUAGUUUUUUAAUUGGAAAAUAGAAUGAAUGGUACCACUAAGAUAUCUUUUUUAGGACAUGUUUCGAAAUUUUAGUUUAAGUGAAAAUACUUAAGGACGUUUUUAAGACGAGAAGACCCUAUGAAGCUGAUAGAUCCUAAACAUUAUUAACGAUCUUGACAGAAAUCUAUUUUUUGGGGUAAAAAUUAAAAUUAUUAUUUAAAUUUAUAUAUAUCAAAUGAGCCUCUUGGAAUAAUAAAAAAGCUCCUCUAGGGAUAACAGCAUUAUACCUAUAAGAGUUCUUAUCAGAAUAGGUGUUUGUGACCUCGAUGUUGAAU
rnacentral:rRNA from 1 species